rnacentral:lncRNA from 1 species
GGCGAGGUAGUACGGGGCUCCAAACUCGAUUUUCCCACGAAUUUCGCAUUUUUUUUUUUGUAUAUAUGUAUCUCAUAAAUGACAAUUUUAUUUGCUACAAAGAAGUCCAAGGUCAAAAUCACUAUCAUUCAUACUUCUCGAGAUAUUUGGCUUUUUAAGUAAGGCUGUAUGAAAUUUUGUAGAGUGAACGAUUCUGAGAAGAAAUUUAAAGAUAAAAGAUUGCCGUGUAUUUUCAAUGCAAAAUUUUUACAUGCCUUGGUCCAGUCCUUAAUGUUAAUAUCAAGGGCUCAAAUAUUCAAUGAAUUUUUUGGGGUAUUUCCAAGGAAAUUUCAUGGGAUUGAAAAAAAGUAAUAAUUCAAAAAAAAAAAACACCCUAAUGCAUAUACAUUCCAGAGUAAUUUCUGCCAUUUUUUUAAUAUUACAACAGUAAAAUUAAACAAGAUACUCUCCAAAUGUCACACAUUGAUGUACCAUUAGUUUUUAGAAAUAGAUUUUAACUGUUUCAUAAAAAAAAAAAAUAUAUCACUACUCCCCCAUAAAAAACGCCAUUUCAGAGAAGUACAAAAUAGUCGAAAUGUUGAAUGUCUAAUUGUUGUUCCAUUGUUGU